GAAUAUCCGAAGGAAAUAUUUACCUUGGAAUUAAUUUAAAUUUUGAAAAAAAAAAAUAUUUUUUGUAUUCCCUCUAAUUUUGGUCUAGCUAUUACCUCAUCCGGAGUCUCGUCGUAAACAGUAUUUGAUAGUUGGGGACAGAUGGGUUUCAUAUUAAUAGCUUGUAGUGUCCUGUUCCAGCCCAUGUGUGGUCUCGGCGGCUAAAGAAGUAGAAAAAAUAGUCAGUUUUAAGAUGAUUUAAUUGUAGCAGUCAAAUUUGUUCCAAUUACAAACGAAUAUUGCAUUAACAA
rnacentral:sRNA from 1 species